UUAAGUUCAGCGGGUAGUCCUACCUGAUUUGAGGUCAGAAGUUCAAAGGUUGACCGCCACUCCAAGGGCAAGUCGAGGAAGGGUCACAAAGCGCGAGCCGCAGUCAGUGUAGAAGCGAGGGUAAUACAACGCCCAAUUGACGCAUAAGCUCGAAGGCCCCAACCGAUGCAUUCAAGGGGAGCCGCCUUUCGGCAGCAAGA
rnacentral:misc_RNA from 1 species